AACGAACGCUGGCGGCAUGCCUAACACAUGCAAGUCGAACGAGACCUUCGGGUCUAGUGGCGCACGGGUGCGUAACGCGUGGGAACGUGCCCUUAGGUUCGGAAUAACUCCCCGAAAGGGGUGCUAAUACCGGAUAAUGUCUUCGGACCAAAGAUUUAUCGCCUUUGGAUGGGCCCGCGUUGGAUUAGCUAGUUGGUAGGGUAAAAGCCUACCAAGGCGACGAUCCAUAGCUGGUCUGAGAGGAUGAUCAGCCACACUGGGACUGAGACACGGCCCAGACUCCUACGGGAGGCAGCAGUGGGGAAUAUUGGACAAUGGGCGAAAGCCUGAUCCAGCAAUGCCGCGUGAGUGAUGAAGGCCUUAGGGUUGUAAAGCUCUUUUACCCGGGAUGAUAAUGACAGUACCGGGAGAAUAAGCUCCGGCUAACUCCGUG
rnacentral:rRNA from 1 species